CCUACGGGUGGCAGCAGUGAGGAAUAUUGGUCAAUGGGCGGGAGCCUGAACCAGCCAAGCCGCGUGAAGGAAGAAGGCGCCAGGCGUCAUAAACUUCUUUUGCCGGGGAACCACGGGCGCCACGCGUGGCGUUGUGAGUGUACCCGAAGAAAAAGCAUCGGCGAACUCCGUGCCAGCAGCCGCGGUAAUACGGGGGAUGCGAGCGUUCUCCGGAUCUAUGGGGUUGAAGGGGGGCGUAGGCGGUCCGGAAAGUCAGCGGUAAAAGCCCGGGGCUCAACCCCGGCGAGCCGUUGAAACUGUCGGACUAGAGACGGCGAGAAGUACGCGGAAUGCGCGGUGUAGCGGUGAAAUGCAUAGAUAUCGCGCAGAACUCCGAUUGCGAAGGCAGCGUACCGGCGCCGGACUGACGCUGAGGCACGAAAGCGUGGGUAUCGAACAGGAUUAGAUACCCCUGUAGUC
rnacentral:rRNA from 1 species